rnacentral:rRNA from 1 species
AUGCGACGUUUCUACGGCGACGCUGACGCCUCCGACACAAUGGGUGGCGCAUGCGGGUAUGGCAACCUCUUCUCUGAAGGAUACGGGACACGCACGGCGGCUUUGAGCACCGUGCUAUUCAACAACGGCGCCGCGUGCGGGCAGUGUUACAAGAUCGCCUGUGAUCGCAAGCGCGCGGACCCGUUGUUUUGUAAGCCUGGCGUGACGGUGACCGUGACGGCCACUAACUUUUGCCCACCGAACGACGCCCUCCCCAAUGAUAAUGGUGGCUGGUGCAACACGCCAAGGCCGCACUUCGACAUGGCCCAGCCGGCCUGGGAGAAAAUCGGUGUUUAUAAAGGUGGCAUCAUCCCCGUAAUGUACUAG